rnacentral:rRNA from 1 species
UACGUAGGGGGCAAGCGUUGUCCGGAAUCAUUGGGCGUAAAGCGCGUGUAGGCGGCUCGAUAAGUCUGCUGUGAAAGUCCAGGGCUCAACCCUGGAAUGCCGGUGGAAACUGUCGAGCUUGAGUCCGGAAGAGGCGAGUGGAAUUCCUGGUGUAGCGGUGAAAUGCGCAGAUAUCAGGAGGAACACCAAUGGCGAAGGCAGCUCGCUGGGACGGUACUGACGCUGAGACGCGAAAGCGUGGGGAGCAAACAGG